rnacentral:rRNA from 1 species
GUUGGGUUAAGUCCCGCAACGAGCGCAACCCUUGUUCCUAGUUGCCAGCAUUGAGUUGGGCACUCUAGGGAGACUGCCGGUGACAAACCGGAGGAAGGUGAGGAUGACGUCAAGUCAGCAUGCCCCUUACGCUCUGGGCUACACACGUGCUACAAUGGCGCGGACAAAGGGUCGCGAGCGCGCGAGCGUGAGCCAAUCCCAAAAACCGCGUCUCAGUUCAGAUCGCAGGCUGCAACUCGCCUGCGUGAAGGCGGAAUCGCUAGUAAUCGCAGAUCAGCAUGCUGCGGUGAAUACGUUCCCGGGCCUUGUACACACCGCCCGUCACACCAUGGGAGCUGGCCAUGCCCGAAGUCGGAGCACCCGCCGAAGGCAGGGCUGGUGACUGGGGUGAAGUCGUAACAAGGUAGCCGUACCGGAAGGUGCGGCUGGAUCACCUCCUUU